GACGAACGCUGGCGGCGUGCUUAACACAUGCAAGUCAAACGGAAGGGCCCUGCUUUUGUGGGGUGCUCGAGUGGCGAACGGGUGAGUAACACGUGAGUAACCUGCCCUUGACUUUGGGAUAACUUCAGGAAACUGGGGCUAAUACCGGAUAGGAGCUCCUGCUGCAUGGUGGGGGUUGGAAAGUUUCGGCGGUUGGGGAUGGACUCGCGGCUUAUCAGCUUGUUGGUGGGGUAGUGGCUUACCAAGGCUUUGACGGGUAGCCGGCCUGAGAGGGUGACCGGCCACAUUGGGACUGAGAUACGGCCCAGACUCCUACGGGAGGCAGCAGUGGGGAAUAUUGCACAAUGGGCGGAAGCCUGAUGCAGCAACGCCGCGUGCGGGAUGACGGCCUUCGGGUUGUAAACCGCUUUCGCCUGUGACGAAGCGUGAGUGACGGUAAUGGGUAAAGAAGCACCGGCUAACUACGU
rnacentral:rRNA from 1 species